AACGAACGCUGGCGGCAGGCCUAACACAUGCAAGUCGAACGCCGUAGCAAUACGGAGUGGCAGACGGGUGAGUAACACGUGGGAACAUACCCUUCGGUUCGGAAUAACUCAGGGAAACGUUGAGCUAAUACCGGAUACGUCCGCGAGGAGAAAGAUUCAUCGCCGGAGGAUUGGCCCGCGUCUGAUUAGCUUGUUGGUGAGGUAACGGCUCACCAAGGCGACGAUCAGUAGCUGGCUGAGAGGAUGAUCAGCCACAUUGGGACUGAGACACGGCCCAAACUCCUACGGGAGGCAGCAGUGGGGAAUAUUGGACAAUGGGCGCAAGCCUGAUCCAGCCAUGCCGCGUGAGUGAU
rnacentral:rRNA from 1 species